GACAGAGGCCUCGAGCGUUAGGCGGAAUCACUGGGCUUAAAGCGUGUGUAGGCGGAUCGUUAAGUACCUUGUGAAAUCCCACGGCUCAACCGUGGAACGGCUGGGUAUACUGGCGGUCUUGGGCCAUUCAGGGGCGACUGGAACAAGCGGUGGAGCGGUGAAAUGCGUAGAUAUCGCUUGGAACGCCGAAGGUGAAAACAGGUCGCUGGGGAUGUGCCGACGCUGAGGCACGAAGGUCAGGGGAGCAAACGGG
rnacentral:rRNA from 1 species